rnacentral:lncRNA from 12 species
AUGGAGGGGGGAGGCGGGGCCGGGGCGUGUGGACCCGCGCGGAGGCCCCUCCGAGUCCCCAGCUUCGUAUCCUCGGUCUGGAGCCGGUCCCAGAGCGGAGCGCUAAGUCCCCGCGGAGAACAACCGGGGCGGGGGCCCUGCAACAACCCAGAGCUGGGAAUUAAAACUCCAGACCGUCAGUCCUGUCCCUUUGUUCUAAAAUUGGGGAAACUGAGGCUCAGAGAGGGAAAGGAACGCACACGUCUUAUCUCUCAGCGCACAGGAGUUUCGGGCAAAGUCCUGGGUUGCACACCAUGUAGCCUGGGGCGGAGAGGGAGACCGUACUCACUAGGUCCGCCGCACUCCAAACGCACCAGGCUGGAGUUAAAAGCACUUUGGGGUCUCCCAGAAGGCCGACGCUGGAGCCCAGGCGCCUUGCGGUCUAUGCAGGCGAUCUCGGUGGCGUCCAUCCUGUUUGGAGGCCGCCAAACCCGAAACUCCAGAGGGUCCCCUAUGGCUGCGUUCCCACUGUGGGCGCCGCUGGGCUGAAGACUCGAAUGCUUGGCAGGCCGGGGUGGGGUGGGGAUGGUGGCAUGGUGGGUGGGGUGCAGGAAGGAGAGCAGCAUUUUUGGCAACCCAGAGGACUACAGGCACCCUCCUCUUUACCCAUGAGAGGCUGCCAGGCAUUCUGAGGGCCCUCAAGGGACUCAUCAUCCGGUAUCAAUAAUGCAUUUCCUACCACACUAACCCGGCCAGAUAGUUUGGGGAUGCAUAGGGCUCUGAGUGAUCUGUGUAAGGUGGGGGGAAUGAUUUGGAUCUGUGGGUGGUGGGUGCUGGAACUGUGACUUUUUUCUAGUAAUUGCCAGGAUCUGUAUGAGUGCUUGCCCUUCAUGUGGGUGCUGUGACAGUGUGCAUCCAUUGCUGGACUUCAUUUUCAGGACUUGUGAAUGUGGCUAUAUACGUAAGAUAGAAUAUAUGUCAGACUAUCUAAGGGCUUGCAAUUUGUGUGACUGCGUGUUGUGUGCAAAGGUGAAAAUGUCUAUGUCUGAGCACCUGUGUGUACAUAGUGGUAAUUGUGGCUAUGUGCCUGGGUGUGUUAGUUUCCACACUGAGAACGCACUAGAUGUAUGAUGGAGUUUUCACCAGUUUGUGCUGUGGAGACAGUUGUGGGGAAAAUAAGAAAAUAUAAAUUUGUGAAACGGUGCACAACUGUAGGUGUAAGACUAUGUGUAAAACCCUGCAGCUGUGCGAUACUGAUGUAGAAUUCGUGUGCCUCUACCGUGUGAUGGUAUCUUUAUGCAUGCCUGCUUAUAGGGUGGGGAGUGGCUCAUAGCUGUAACAUAUCUGAGUCGAGAUGUGUGCCCUGUGGGUGACGGAGAGAUAAUGUAUAAAAUUCUAGGAAUGCAUGAAUAUUAAAAUGUGUCUCAUGGGUGUAAAUGUGUUAACCAUGAGAAUACACAUACUUUUUGGCAUCUGUAUGAAUAGAUGGACUUCUGUGAAUGCAUAUACGUACACGUGUAAUCCUGAGCACCCAAGUGCUGCUGUGAGA